UACGGGGGGGGCAAGCGUUGUUCGGAAUUACUGGGCGUAAAGCGCGUGUAGGCGGCUCUUCAAGUCAGGCGUGAAAGCCCCGGGCUCAACUCGGGAACUGCGCUUGAUACUGUCGAGCUAGAGUGUGGAAGGGGCGAUUGGAAUUCCGUGUGUAGCGGUGAAAUGCGUAGAUAUACGGAGGAACACCAGAGGCGAAGGCGGAUCGCUGGGCCAACACUGACGCUGAGACGCGAAAGCUAGGGUAGCAAACGGG
rnacentral:rRNA from 1 species